rnacentral:SRP_RNA from 1 species
GCUGGGUGUGGUGGGGCACACCUGUAGUCCCAGCUACUCGGGAGGCUGAGGUGGGAGGAUCACUUGAGCCCAGGAGUUUGAGUCCAGCCUGGGCAACAUAAUGAGAUCCCCAUCUCAU